rnacentral:rRNA from 1 species
CCUACGAGAGGCAGCAGUGAGGACUAUUGGUCAAUGGACGAGAGUCUGAACCAGCCAAGUAGCGUUAAGGAUGACUGCCCUCUGGGUUGUAAACUUCUUUUCUCUGGGAAUAAAACCGGGUAUGCAUACCCUCUUGUAUGUACCAUAUGAAUAAGGAUCGGCUAACUCCGUGCCAGCAGCCGCGGUAAUACGGAGGAUCCGAGCGUUAUCCGGAUUUAGUGGGUUUAAAGGUAGCGGAGGUGGAUUUUUAAGUCCGGUGUGAAAGUUUGCGGGUCAACCGUAAAAUUGCAGUUGAAACUGGCAGUCUUGAGUACAGUAGAGGUGGGCGGAAUUCGUGGUGUAGCGGUGAAAUGCUUAGAUAUCACGAAGAACUCCGAUUGCGAAGGCAGCUCACUGGACCGCAACUGACACUGAUGCACGAAAGUGUGGGUAUCAAACAGGAUUAGAUACCCCGGUAGUC